rnacentral:rRNA from 1 species
UACGUAGGGCGCAAGCGUUGUCCGGAAUUAUUGGGCGUAAAGAGCUCGUAGGCGGCCUGUUACGUCUGCUGUGAAAUCCCGGGGCUUAACCCCGGGCGUGCAGGUGGAUACGGGCAGGCUGGAGGCAGGCAGGGGAGAACGGAAUUCCCGGUGUAGCGGUGGAAAUGCGCGAGAUAUCGGGAGGAACACCGGUGGUGUAAACGCUUU